rnacentral:rRNA from 1 species
UACGGAGGGUGCAAGCGUUGUCCGGAUUUAUUGGGCGUAAAGAGCGUGUAGGCGGCCAGGUAGGUCUGCUGUGAAAACUCGAGGCUUAACCUCGAGCUGUCGGCGGAAACCAUCUGGCUAGAGUCCGGAAGAGGAGAAUGGAAUUCCCGGUGUAGCGGUGAAAUGCGCAGAUAUCGGGAAGAACACCCGUGGCGAAGGCGGUUCUCUGGGACGGUACUGACGCUGAGACGCGAAAGCGUGGGGAGCGAACAGG